GACGAACGCUGGCGGCGUGCUUAACACAUGCAAGUCGAACGGUGAAGGGGUCUGCUUUUGUGGGCCCUGGAUGAGUGGCGAACGGGUGAGUAACACGUGAGUAACCUGCCCCCUUCUUCUGGAUAACCGCAUGAAAGUGUGGCUAAUACGGGAUAUUCUGGGUCUGUCGCAUGAUGGGUCUGGGAAAGAUUGCGCCUUUGGGUGUUUUUGGUGGGGGAUGGGCUCGCGGCCUAUCAGCUUGUUGGUGGGGUGAUGGCCUACCAAGGCGGUGACGGGUAGCCGGCCUGAGAGGGUGGACGGUCACACGGGGACUGAGACACGGCCCAGACUCCUACGGGAGGCAGCAGUGGGGAAUAUUGCACAAUGGGCGCAAGCCUGAUGCAGCGACGCCGCGUGAGGGAGGGAGGCCUUCGGGUUGUAAACCUCUUUCGCCAGUGAAGCAGGCCUGCUCCUUGUGGGUGGGUUGACGGUAGCUGGAUAAGAAGCGCCGGCUAACUACGUG
rnacentral:rRNA from 1 species